CGGAGAGGGCGCAGUGAUCCCGCGACCAUCAAACCAACAACAUCGUCCCGACACAAAACGGCGCAUCCUGCUGCGCCCCCUUCUUCUUCUGUCGCUUCUGCCGCUUCUGCUUCUUCUUCUUCGUCGACACGUCCUGUUCCAUCGUAGUCGGCUACGGCGGCGUCCACCGAAGUUGGCUCACGCAUCCUGGCUUUCUUGCCGCUUUCAUCCACGCAAGAUGUCGAACACGAUCCUCCACGAUGGAUUCCAUGGAGGUAUCCGAGAGAUUCAUCUCCUGGACCUGCUGUCGAUGGACGAUGGAGUAUGGUUCUCCAAUACGGUGACCGUGGCUGGGAGAAGAUCCAGGAGACGUUCGAUCAUCUACCAUUGGAUCCACGGAACACGGAAUUCAUUUGCAGAUACCAGGUAGAACCAUGCGGUUCGUCGGCCCGGUACCAGGGUUCUCAUGAAUGGAGGAGGGUUCACCAGGAUCGAUGAAGAGGGCGUGCCUUCAGGGGAGGAUUGGUAUCCGUGACGUUUUCAACCCCACCUGAGAAGGCCGCAAACGGAGUGCACGUGCUCGAUUACGUCAUAAGGAUAGCCGGGACUGGAGCGAGAGUAAGUCAUUCAGAGAUCCUGUAUCGCUGUUCGUUCCACGGUCAUAAGACUCCACUUCCAGUUCUCACCGUAACUGUAAAUUAAUGUCAACUUUACGUAACUCGUCGUCGAUGAGUUGACGGAGUAAAGACGAAUAGAAGAGGAAGAUACUGAAGAGACUAGUGAAUAUUUCAGUCUGUUGGUGGAUUUUACGCGGAAGAAGAUGGAAAGAAGAAGUGAGAUGAUGGAAAAUACGAAGAUGCGUGAGUCUGUGCUCCUUGCGUUCACUGCGGGCUUCCAUGUGCCAACUUUUCAAAAUUCAUAAGGCACGCGGUGAAUGCCAAGAGCGGACCAAAUUCAACGUUCUCUAUCGCAAUACAUCUCCACCGUAGUUGGCAGUUCACGGAUUUCGACGAUUUAACUGUGCUCGUUACUUUUGCUACGACAGGUCAGUAAUGAGUUGAAAUUUCCAUGUCUGCGACUUUGAUUUUCAUUACGUUCGAUGAUUCAUUUAUUUUUAAUUUUCCCUCUUUUUCUAUUUUUUUUUUUUUUUUUUUUUUUUUUUUAGUUUUAUACCUUAAUAAUAGUAGACCGUAAAAGUGGAUCGUAGUAAUAGUUUUGAAUGAUUUCAAGUAGGCGAGACUUCAGUAGUUCAAGAAAAUCCUUUUGUUUUCCUUUUUUUUUUUUUAUUUCUCCUGCUAGAAUUUGUAGCACUUCGCCAAUGUGCCUUGUAUAGAUCUUCAGUUUGAUAACAGAAUGAAACUUUAAGUUUAUUGUAAAAUGAGAUCAUGUACAGUAACAGCUCCUCUUCGACUGUGUACAUAUGCAUUCUUUUUAACAAUAAAAAGAAAUAUUGUUUACCCCCGUCUAUUAUACCUGCGUCUCUCAAUCAUUUCUCCAUCACGAUUCUCUCUACUUCUUUCUCUUCUUUUUUUCUACUCCCAUCGAGUGCCUAACCAUAUCAGGUAAGGAACCUUGAACUUUCUCUUUCUUUCUCUCUCUCUCUCUGCCUCGGUCUCGGUAAUUUCACCCUGUGAAGAACCUUAUUCAACACGUCAAUUAGUUUUUCACAAUCUACGAACCGGCGAAGAUCCCCUAAUCCUCAUUACGUGACCACGUACGAUCACAGUAGUAUAAAUUACAAUACUUCACCAACUUCUCCCAUUCUACCAUAAUCUACAUCCCCAUUAUACUCAAUUCAUUCCCAAUUUACCACAACUCAUUUUCCCACCACGUUUCCUUGGAUAUAUUUUCAACCCUCAAAAGAUACCAAAAACGAUCCACGCAAUUCUACAGAACAACGAAGGGAGCCCUUCCUACGGUUUGUUCCCAAUCCCUCGACUUUCUCAAGGACAAACUCGUGAUCAAACCCAGCGAUGAUCGUAGAGCGGCAUCAACGAGCAGCAGAGACAUAGAGAAGCAGGGUUAGCAAUCGUUUUAAGUGUC